rnacentral:lncRNA from 1 species
CCUGUUCCCACAGCAGGUACCUUGCACAUGCCGUCUCCUGGCAGUCACUGCUGUAUCUCCAGUCUCUGUGCAUUUGCCUGCUCUGAACAUCUCAGAAAAAGGGAAGCAUACAACAGGUGGCUCUUCUGCCUGGCUCCAUCCGGUUAUAAGGUUCACCUUUGUAGCACGCGACAGUACUUUGCUCCUUUCCAAUAAUCAUUAUAGAGAUAUGUUACAUUUUUUUUUAUCCACUCACAAGUUGACGGACAUAGUGUUGUCUCUACUCUUUAGCUGUUAUGAGCAAUGCUGUUAUGAACCUCGAGGAACAACAUGAACGUGUGUUUUCAGUUCUCCUGGGCAUAUGAAUGGGUCACACACCACGUUUUACUUCUCAGGGGACUGACGGGUUGUUCCCAAAGCAGCUGUGCCACCUGCCAUCCACACACCAUGGAGGUCUGAAAUCUACAUCCUCACAAGCACAUGAUGUUGUGUACAGUUGUUACAAUAGCCAUGCCGGUGAGUCAGAAGUGGUAUCUCAUCACAGUUUUGGCAAACGAUACUGAGUAUUGUGUCCCUUUUGGCCCUCUGUAUGUCUGCUUUGUAGAAAUAUCUAUUCGAAUAUUCUGUCUUACUAGAUCGGAUUGUCAUUUUUAUCAUGGAUUUGUAUGAAUGACAGAGAAGAACGCAAUUUACCAUGGCCCGGGUGGGCAGAGAGCAUGAGUAGAGAAUGUUAACCACGGAAGCCUUCCUGGAGGAACUAAUGUCUAGCAUGAUCCGGAAGAGCUCUUCCUCCCCCAGUGAGACACAGACCCAUGGACUUACAGCAGCCCAAGCAGCCACUGCCACAGAGAGCCCAGAGAGCUGUCUGAGACCACAAUACAAAGCACCUUCCCCCUUCCUGGAAACAAAGCAAGAUAAAAUAUGGACUUAAACCAAACAAGCGCCAUCUCUUCUCUCUG